rnacentral:sRNA from 1 species
GUGAUUGGCCUUAGUGCCUAAAAACUAUAUCCCAAACACCUGUGAACUGUUGAACCGAAAGGUUCUUUUACAAACAUUGUGUAAUGAACGUCAUAACAUUAUAAACAAAACAACUUUCAACAACGGAUCUCUUGGCUCUCGCAUCGAUGAAGAACGCAGCGAAAUGCGAUAAGUAAUGUGAAUUGCAGAAUUCAGUGAAUCAUCGAAUCUUUGAACGCAACUUGCGCUCUCUGGUAUUCCGGAGAGCAUGCCUGUUUGAGUGUCAUGAUCUCUCAACCAAUAGGGUUUCUUAUUGGCUUGGAUCUGGGUGCUGCCAGCUUGUCUGGCUCGCCUUAAAGGAGUUAGCGAGUAUAGCAAUGUCGUCUGGCGUAAUAAGUUUCGCUGGGUUGACGUGUGAAGCACGCUUCUAAUCGCCCUCGGGCAAUUUUUGACUCUGGCCUCAAAUCAGGUAGGACUACCCGCUGAACUUAAGCAUAUCAAUAAGCGGAGGAAAAGAAACUAACAAGGAUUCCCCUAGUAGCGGCGAGUGAAGCGGGAAGAGCUCAAAUUUGUAAUCUGGCGUCUUUCAGGCGUCCGAGUUGUAAUCUAUAGAAGUGUUUUCCGUGCUGGACCAUGUCCAAGUCCCUUGGAACAGGGUAUCAAAGAGGGUGACAAUCCCGUACUUGAUAUGGCCACCAGUGCUCUGUGAUACACUUUCUACGAGUCGAGUUGUUUGGGAAUGCAGCUCAAAAUGGGUGGUAAAUUCCAUCUAAAGCUAAAUAUUGGCGAGAGACCGAUAGCGAACAAGUACCGUGAGGGAAAGAUGAAAAGCACUUUGGAAAGAGAGUUAAACAGUACGUGAAAUUGUUGAAAGGGAAACGAUUGAAGUCAGUCGUGUUCAUUGGACUCAGCCGGUUCUUCCGGUCUAUUUCCUUUGAACGGGUCAACAUCAGUUUUGUCCGGUGGAUAAAGGCAGAGAGAAAGUGGCUCCCUCGGGAGUGUUAUAGCUUUUUGUCACAUACACUGGAGGAGACUGAGGACUGCAGCUCGCCUUUUGGCCGGGGUUCGCCCACGUUCGAGCUUAGGAUGUUGACA